AUUGAACGCUGGCGGCAUGCCUAACACAUGCAAGUCGAACGGUAACGCGGAGAGCUUGCUCUCUGGCGACGAGUGGCGGACGGGUGAGUAAUACUUGGGAAUCUGCCCAGUAGUGGGGGACAACAUUCGGAAACGGAUGCUAAUACCGCAUACGCACUACGGUGGAAAGUGGGGGGAUCUUCGGACCUCACGCUAUUGGAUGAGCCCAAGUCGGAUUAGCUUGUAGGUAGGGUAAUGGCCUACCUAGGCGACGAUCCGUAGCUGGUCUGAGAGGACGAUCAGCCACACUGGGACUGAGACACGGCCCAGACUCCUACGGGAGGCAGCAGUGGGGAAUAUUGGACAAUGGGCGCAAGCCUGAUCCAGCAAUGCCGCGUGUGUGAAGAAGGCCUGCGGGUUGUAAAGCACUUUCAGUAGAGAAGAAAAGCCUAGGGUUAAUACCCUUGGGUCUUGACGGUACCUACAGAAGAAGCACCGGCUAAUUCCGUG
rnacentral:rRNA from 1 species